UACGGAGGGUGCGAGCGUUAUUCGGAAUUACUGGGCGUAAAGCGCGUGCAGGCGGGAGAGAAAGUCUGAUGUGAAAGCCCGGGGCUCAACCCCGGAAGUGCAUUGGAAACUUCUCUUCUUGAGUGCUGGAGAGGAAGGGGGAAUUCCCGGUGUAGAGGUGAAAUUCGUAGAGAUCGGGAGGAAUACCAGUGGCGAAGGCGCCCUUCUGGACAGUCACUGACGCUGAGACGCGAAAGCGUGGGGAGCAAAC
rnacentral:rRNA from 1 species